GUGCCAGCCGCCGCGGUAAGACGAACCGUGCGAACGUUAUUCGGAAUCACUGGGCUUAAAGGGUGCGUAGGCUGCGAGGAGGGUGGGGUGUGAAAUCCCUCGGCUUAACCGAGGAAUUGCGCUCCAAACCGCCUUGCUGGAGUGAGACAGAGGUGAGCGGAACUAAUGGUGGAGCGGUGAAAUGCGUUGAUAUCAUUAGGAACACCAGAGGCGAAGGCGGCUCACUGGGUCUCAACUGACGCUGAUGCACGAAAGCUAGGGUAGCGAACGGGAUUAGAAACCCGAGUAGUCC
rnacentral:rRNA from 1 species